UACGUAGGGGGCAAGCGUUGUCCGGAAUCAUUGGGCGUAAAGCGCGUGUAGGCGGCCCGGUAAGUCCGCUGUGAAAGUCGGGGGCUCAACCCUCGAAUGCCGGUGGAUACUGUCGGGCUAGAGUACGGAAGAGGCGAGUGGAAUUCCUGGUGUAGCGGUGAAAUGCGCAGAUAUCAGGAAGAACACCCGUGGCGAAGGCGGCUCUCUGGAACGCAACUGACGCUGAGACGCGAAAGCGUGGGGAGCAAACAGG
rnacentral:rRNA from 1 species